rnacentral:rRNA from 1 species
GAUGAACGCUGGCGGCGUGCCUAAUACAUGCAAGUCGAGCGAACGGACGAGAAGCUUGCUUCUCUGAUGUUAGCGGCGGACGGGUGAGUAACACGUGGAUAACCUACCUAUAAGACUGGGAUAACUUCGGGAAACCGGAGCUAAUACCGGAUAAUAUUUUGAACCGCAUGGUUCAAAAGUGAAAGACGGUCUUGCUGUCACUUAUAGAUGGAUCCGCGCUGCAUUAGCUAGUUGGUAAGGUAACGGCUUACCAAGGCAACGAUGCCUAGCCGACCUGAGAGGGGGACCGGCCACCCUGGAACUGAGCCACGGUCCAGACUCCUACGGGAGGAAGCAGUAGGGAAUCUUCCGCAAUGGGCGAAAGCCUGACGGAGCAACGCCGCGUGAGUGAUGAAGGUCUUCGGAUCGUAAAACUCUGUUAUUAGGGAAGAACAUAUGUGUAAGUAACUGUGCACAUCUUGACGGUACCUAAUCAGAAAGCCACGGCUAACUACGUG